UGGCGGACGGGUGAGGAAUACAUCGGAAUCUACUCUGUCGUGGGGGAUAACGUAGGGAAACUUACGCUAAUACCGCAUACGACCUACGGGUGAAAGCAGGGGAUCUUCGGACCUUGCGCGAUUGAAUGAGCCGAUGUCGGAUUAGCUAGUUGGCGGGGUAAAGGCCCACCAAGGCGACGAUCCGUAGCUGGUCUGAGAGGAUGAUCAGCCACACUGGAACUGANACACGGUCCAGACUCCUACGGGAGGCAGCAGCC
rnacentral:rRNA from 1 species